rnacentral:rRNA from 1 species
UACGUAGGGACCGAGCGUUGUUCGGAAUUACUGGGCGUAAAGGGCUCGUAGGUGGCCAACUAAGUCAGACGUGAAAUCCCUCAGCUUAACUGGGGAACUGCGUCUGAUACUGGAUGGCUUGAGUUUGGGAGAGGGAUGCGGAAUUCCAGGUGUAGCGGUGAAAUGCGUAGAUAUCUGGAGGAACACCGGUGGCGAAGGCGGCAUCCUGGACCAACACUGACACUGAGGAGCGAAAGCCAGGGGAGCAAACGGG